rnacentral:rRNA from 1 species
GUGGGGAAUAUUGGACAAUGGGGGCAACCCUGAUCCAGCGAUGCCGCGUGUGCGAAGAAGGCCUGCGGGUUGUAAAGCACUUUAGUUGGGGAAGAAAGUUCAGUAGUCGAAUAGGCUAUUGAUUUGACGUUACCCAAAGAAUAAGCACCGGCUAACUCUGUGCCAGCAGCCGCGGUAAUACAGAGGGUGCGAGCGUUAAUCGGAAUUACUGGGCGUAAAGGGCGCGUAGGCGGUUAUGUAAGUUAGAUGUGAAAUCCCCGGGCUUAACCUGGGAAUGGCAUUUAAUACUGUAUGACUAGAGUAGAGUAGAGGGAAGUGGAAUUUCCGGUGUAGCGGUGAAAUGCGUAGAUAUCGGAAAGAACACCAGUGGCGAAGGCGGCUUCCUGGACUCAUACUGACGUUGAGGCGCGAAAGCGUGGGUAGCAAACAGGAUUAGAUACCCGGGUAGUCC